AUUGAACGCUGGCGGCAUGCUUUACACAUGCAAGUCGAACGGUAACAGGUUAAGCUGACGAGUGGCGAACGGGUGAGUAAUGCAUCGGAACGUGCCCGGUCGUGGGGGAUAACGCAGCGAAAGCUGCGCUAAUACCGCAUACGAUCUAGGGAUGAAAGCGGGGGACCGUAAGGCCUCGCGCGAUCGGAGCGGCCGAUGUCAGAUUAGGUAGUUGGUGGGGUAAAGGCUCACCAAGCCAACGAUCUAUAGCUGGUCUGAGAGGACGACCAGCCACACUGGGACUGAGACACGGCCCAGACUCCUACGGGAGGCAGCAGUGGGGAAUUAUGGACAAUGGGCGAAAGCCUGAUCCAGCAAUGCCGCGUGCAGGAAGAAGGCCUUCGGGUUGUAAACUGCUUUUGUACGGAGCGAAAAGGUCUCCUCUAAUACAGGGGGCUCAUGACGGUACCGUAAGAAUAAGCACCGGCUAACUACGUGCCAGCAGCCGCCGUAA
rnacentral:rRNA from 1 species